rfam:Glycine soja cultivar W05 scaffold4710_23, whole genome shotgun sequence.
UUCUUAUUGAAUGAUGACUGUCACGUGUCAUGUUCUAAUUGGACGUCAACUUCAUGAAAGAUAAAAUGUAUUGUUGUUUUCAUUGACCAAUCAAAACAUGAAACGUGGCAGUCAACAUCA